CCGUCAGAACGAACGCUGGCGGCAGGCUUAACACAUGCAAGUCGAGCGAGACCUUCGGGUCUAGCGGCGGACGGGUGAGUAACGCGUGGGAACGUGCCCUUCUCUACGGAAUAGCCCCGGGAAACUGGGAGUAAUACCGUAUACGCCCUUUGGGGGAAAGAUUUAUCGGAGAAGGAUCGGCCCGCGUUGGAUUAGGUAGUUGGUGGGGUAAUGGCCCACCAAGCCGACGAUCCAUAGCUGGUUUGAGAGGAUGAUCAGCCACACUGGGACUGAGACACGGCCCAGACUCCUACGGGAGGCAGCAGUGGGGAAUCUUAGACAAUGGGGGCAACCCUGAUCUAGCCAUGCCGCGUGAGUGAUGAAGGCCUUAGGGUUGUAAAGCUCUUUCAGCUGGGAAGAUAAUGACGGUACCAGCAGAAGAAGCCCCGGCUAACUCCGUGCCAGCAGCCGCGGUAAUACGGAGGGGGCUAGCGUUGUUCGGAAUUACUGGGCGUAAAGCGCACGUAGGCGGACUGGAAAGUCAGAGGUGAAAUCCCAGGGCUCAACCUUGGAACUGCCUUUGAAACUAUCAGUCUGGAGUUCGAGAGAGGUGAGUGGAAUUCCGAGUGUAGAGGUGAAAUUCGUAGAUAUUCGGAGGAACACCAGUGGCGAAGGCGGCUCACUGGCUCGAUACUACGCUAGUCAUUU
rnacentral:rRNA from 1 species